GUAAAGAAAACUAAAAGAAAAUGGUCGAUCAAUACGACGACCCAUUCAUGCCACAUCGUGGCACGAUUGCCCAUAUCAACUUACAAUGACAGAUAUGUAUAAUUAACCAUCUCAUUUACCACAGAUUACCAUGGAUGUAGGUACGCCAGUUGCAAAUACGCAACGGGCCUGCCCCAGCGCCCCGAACGGUAGUUGCAACAGCAUCGGCUGCUGCUCCGGCAACCACGCCAGCAACCGCAUCGGCAACAACGCCGGCACCUGUACAGGUAACCGCGCCUGCAGCGGUACCUGCAUCCGCGCCUCGUGGUGGCACCCGACCACCACCGAUCACAUCGAGGAUUUCGGAGACCCGUCAGAUAAGGUGGCCCAUCUGUCGACGCCCACACCGUCUGCAUCAUUGUGGCAUAUUUCGGGGUAUGCGACCCGUGCAACGGCAGCAAGUUGCCUGCGAACCGACACCGCCCUAAACUACGUGUCAACCAAAGAAAAAUCCCGGGAGCGUCGGACUCAAAUUGAGCGGCUCAUUGGGCAGCGUCUGUCUGCAAGUCAGGAGCGGCUGAACUAUCCAACUACAAUCGGAAAUUGGAAAGAAAUUCUUAUAAAACGGAUACCAGUUUCUAAGCCAAGUAAGACUCUGGUAAAAAUCAACUGGACACAGUUCUCGAAAAUUUUACACUGGAGCUGACAGGCGUAGUAUUCGGCGACUUUAGUAAGCGGAGUGAAAUCUUGCUGAAACGGCUUGCCGGCUUAUGUUACAAAUGCCUUCCGUCCCCACUAAAACCCCGGCAAGGCCUCAAGGUACGUUCGAUGCUUGCCGUCAUUUAGUUGGCGCUGCAAUUUCGGUUGAGCGUUGCUCCCGAUUAACGCUGAUCUGGCACUAAACUUCGGUGCCCAUAAGGACCUAAGUCAACCCUUGCAUAACCUCCCUGCACUGCAAAGAUAACCACGGGAUCAUCACAGCGAUUGCACAUAGCGAGCAGAGAUAGCGGCCUUGAGGGGGGACCCAAUUAAAUGAACACCACAAAUCAUAAUAAUGACACCGAAUUUGAAAAUGUAAACGAGCACAUGGUCUUUAGGCGAAGCUCAAAUGUUAUGCGAACACCGCCGCUGCAUACCAACCACGAAAGCAGCACAGCAGCAGGGGCUGAACAAGACAAGCAGCAAGAAGUAACUCCUAUGGCGAGAAAAACAAUUACUGCAGGAAAUAUGCCAGUCUUUUAUCAACUCGGGGAUUAGAUUGGCAAUCUGGUUGCAAUGCUUGAGGAUGGAAAGAGACGAUCUAUCCACCAAGCUAUGAGGGACACCAUAGGACGGAUAACCUCAUUGUAUGAGCUAGCUGCCUCUGAGCGUGCUACUAAACUAAGCCCCGGUGAAAGGAGGGAAAACACGUCCCAAACUUCGCCGUGGUUUGUGAUCGCAAUCCAAGCGAAGAGGAAGCUCGAAAACGGGAAAAGGAUUCAAGGAGUAAAAGACGAAACGACUGUGUUGAAAUGCAAUAAACGCAAAUACCUGAAAGUGUGGCACCUCCCUCAGAAAAACAGGCAACUGAAUGGGAACUGGUGAAAAACAGACGUAAUAAGCCGGAACUGAAAAAAACGGAACCAGAGAUACCGAAACGGAAGCUGAAGCGCACGGAAGCUCUGGUGAUUUCGAAGACCAGAGACAUGUCGUACGCAGAUAUGCUAAAGAAAAUGAAAUCAGACCCCAGACUUCAAGACCUCGGUGAUAGCUUGAGCAAAGCAAGGAGAACAGCUAAGGGUGAACUUCUGCUAAAGCUCAAAGCAAAAACGAAAGAGCCUUCUAAAAAACUCAGGGAACGCGCAAUAGAGGUCCUAAAAGAUAUGGCAGAAGUACUAGCACAAGCAAUUACACAAGAAAUUAGAGACUUAAACGAGGCAACGACAGCCGAGGAAGUAUGUAUGUCCAUAAAUGACAAAUUUCCUGACGAAGAAAAUCUAGAACAUAGUGCCAUCAAAUCCAUGCGACGGCUUAAGGACGAAACGCAAAUUGCCAUUAUUGUCCCUUUGGCAAUAUCAAAAAAAAUCCUUGACGCAAAUAAAAUAAAAAUAGGUUGGGUUAAUUGUAGGGUUCGAGAAAUUACAGGACCAGUCCGAUGCGCGAUAUAUGACCGAACUCAAAGCAUUUAGAGUUCGGUCAUAUAUCGCGUAACUGCAAAAACAGGAAAGAUCUUGCUAUAGAUGUGGAGAAAAGGGGCAUGCCGCAAAAGGAUGCAAUAAAGAGCCUCUAUGUCUCUUAUAACCACAAGGGACGAAUAAGUACCCGACUGGUAGCUUUAGCUGCCCAGUUUAUAAAAAGGCCGCUGGAAAACCGCAAUGAUGAGGUAUCUCCAGUUAAACCUCAACCACUGUUCGGCAGCCCAAGCACUGCUGACAAAAACUGCCUCGGACCUUAACACAGACGUACUAUUACAUAGUGAACCGUAUAAGACCCCAAAAAAUGACAAAAACUGGAUUAAAGACAAAGAUUCAAAAUCUGCGAUAUGGACCUUUAACAACGUUCCUUUCGAAAAUACUCAAACCAUUAAAGAAAAAGGCUUCGUGUACGCAAAGAUAAAGGGCAUACAUUUCUACAGUUGCUACGCCGCUCCUAGUCUAUCCCUGACAGAAUUUCAGGAUAUGCUCUUUAGGCUCACAUCGCACGCAAGAGGAAAGACACCGCUAGUCAUCGCUGGUGACUUUAAUGCAUGGGCGGUAGAAUGGGGGAGUAUGAUCACUAACGCGAGGGGCACAGCACUUCUGUCGUCGCUUGCAAAUAUUGAUAUUAUACUCCUUAACAACGGACACAAGCCAACAUUUAUGAAAGGAAGAGCGUCAUCGUAUAUUGAUCUUACCUUCGUAAGCUCGUCGAUAGCAACGCAAACCGCAUGGAGAGUUUCAGACAUCUAUACACAUAGUGACCAUUGAGCCAUAAUCUUUAAUAUCAUUAUACAGAAUAAGUAAAACUCUGGUAUUUUCGCACCUAAAAACAUAAUAAGACGCUGGAAAACAGAAACCUGUGAUACAGAAAUGCUGGAAUUCGCCAUUAGCCAAGUAAAAGAGGAUCUACUAGGGAACGCUCAGAACAAGACAAAGCACAUCACAAAAUCAUUUGUAAUGGUAGCCGAUGCCACGAUGCCACGAAGAAAAGACGGAAGAAACAGAGCCCCGCUAUACUGGUGGUCUGAAGAAAUCGCGCAACUGAGAGCUGAAUGCCUCAAGUUUCGACGUAGACAGCAUCGUGCUACAGGAAAAGGUGACUUUGCAGAACUUCUUAUAAACUUUCGGAAAAAAAGGAAAGAACUGCAUAAGGUCAUAGCCAACACCAAAGAAAUGCCUUUAACCAACUUACCUCAGAAGUAGAUAACGACCCUUGGGGAAAAGCCUACCGAAUUGCAAUGCAGAAAAUAGGUAGAUCAAAAACACCACCUACAUCUCCCGCAAUUUUACGUAAGAUAGGCCAUAGUUUAUUCCCAAGAUGCGAGCCUAUGAAAGUGCCAAUUUCGCUGAAGUGUCCCACGAAGAAAUACAACAUGCGGUGAAAAGAAUCAAGAUUGGCAAAUCACCCGGCCCGGACGGAAUACCCAACUUCCUAACUAAGCGUAUCAUCCAAAGAAAGCCAAAAUUGUUCCAAAACGCAUACACAAGCUGCUUGAAGGAAGGGACCUUUCGCAAAUGUUGGAAGCGUCAACGCCUCGUUCUUCUCCCCAAAGGUGAUAAACCUCCAGAAGAACCCUCGUCAUAUCGGCCCUUAUGUAAGCUUGAUACGGCUGGAAAAGUUUUCGAAACAACUAUUCGUAAGCGGCUAGAGAAAUAUACCGAAGGAGACUCUGGGUUGAAUCCAAUGCAGUUCGGUUUCCGGAAAGGACGUAGCACAGUAGAUGCGAUAAAUGCGGUCACCAAAAUAGCGGGUAAAGCACUGGAAGGGAGUAGAUGGCGUUGGGGUGUUAAAGGUCCCGGACUACCUCUUCCGAAUUGUGGCAAGCUACUUUGAAAACAGAGUAUUAGUGUACGAGACAGAAUGUGGACCUGAAACAUAUAAAGUAACAGGCGGCGUUCCGCAAGGGUCAGUCCCAUCCCUGUACUCUGGAACGUGAUGUACAAUGGAAUUCUGAGAGUCCCGAUGCCUGAGGCGGUAAAAAUAGUAGGAUACGCGGACGACAUUGCGGUCAUAGUAGUAGCAAAAACCCUAGACGAAGCGAGAUACAAGUGUACUGAAAGCAUUAACAAUAUUAAAAAAUGGCUCGAGACAGCUGGCUUACAGCUAGCUGCACACAAAACUGAGGUGGUUUUAAUGAGCAGCCGAAAAACAGUGAAAUCAAUUGAGAUAUGUAUUGAUGGGCAUACCAUAAAGUCAAGCCCACAUCUCAAAUAUCUUGGAGUAAUCCUAGAUCAUAGACUCUCUUUUAAGCAGCACCUAAUUUCCACAUACAUCAAAGCGGCGAGAUCUAUAGGCAAUAGCAAGAAUAAUGUCCAAUAUGCGAGGCCCCAAACAACUAGUCAGAAAGCUGCUGACAAGCGUCAGUAGCUCCAUCAUUCUGUACGCGGCGCGAAUUUGGAUAUCUGCUAUUAGACAUAGCUCGUAUAUGAGAGGAGUUGCUUCGGUACACAGACUGGCGUAACUGAGAACUUGCUGUGCAUUCAGAACAGUAUCGCAUGAUGCAAUCCAAGUUAUAUCGGGAAGACUCCCCAUAGACAUAGCAGGUGAGCGUUGCUCAUCAGUCCGAGAUAUGAGGGCUAACAUAUCACCCAACCAAUAUAGACAAGACCUGAUAAAAAUCGACGAGAAAUGCCUCCGGAAAUGGCAGGAGAGAUGGAAUAACUCAACGAAGGGAAGGUGGACCCACUCUCUGAUACCCAACGGGAUUAUGGGGAGGUGAACUACUACCUUACGCAGUUUCUAUGUAUCUGGCCACGGCUGCUUCAGAAGCUAUUUGCAUAAAUUCAAGCAUGUGGAAUCUCCUCUCUGCAUGCACUGCGAAAAUUACAUUGAAACAGCAGACCACGUACUGGUGGAAUGUGUCCGCUUCCAAAAGGAAAGGCAAAUACUUUCCAAUAAACUAGGAAAGACCCUACCCAUACGUUCAAGGGACGUAGUAAGUUUUAUGCUAACUUCCCAUCUAGCAUGGGAUAUUGUAUGUGGGAUAAUAGCGUAUAUUAUGCAAAAGGUUCCAGAAGACGAAAUCGCUGUAAGACCGAGAGUGCAGUCCCGAGAUGCUGCAAACCUAUGACACCAUAAGAACAUAAAUAUAAAGGAGCUGUUAUAUACAUAAACAAUACCUGCCCUGCGAAGGAAAGCCUACAGGUAGUUCCGCAGGGAAACACAGGUCUGUGGGCAAGGGGUGCUUUAGCACGUAUGCGCUUUAUGCGAAUCGGGCAUAAUUGUUGGUACGGGCCAACAGUAUAUUUUGAAGAUUUACACCCACCUUUGGCGUAUCCAUAAAAAAAACCACACAUAAUUAACAAAAGGGACCGACGGACAGCGCCCGGCCUCUUUUGUUCUCUAUCCGAGCGCAUACAUGUUUCAACAUCGCGAUCGCUGAUCAACACAUAGUUUUGCUUCCAAACCAGUUCUACGAAUUCGUCAAAAAGUCAAUCUCAAUACGAAACUGAUGAAGAAGAAUUAGCUCUGGAAAAAUGCUCGAUUUUAAAGAAAAAUAAAAGGCCUAGAAAAAAAGCGUCAGUCCGACGCUCCACCAGAAGUGAUCUUAAAAGAAAAUACUUUUUCAUCGAACGGUGAAAACCACACAGUUAAAAAUGAAAAACCGAAAUAUGAACCGCGGCCUCCACCUAUUAAAAUUUCGAAUAUUUCUUGUUAUAAAGAACUAAACAACCUAAUUAAAGAUAAUACGAAAAGUUCAUUUGUAUUUAAACUAUUAAAUAACGACAUUCAUAAAAUAAGCGUUACAUCAGGUGAUGACUACAGAUCAGUGACAGAAAUGUUGUCUGCGUCGGGAGCUUCAUGGUAUUCCCUUGAAGACAAAGAAACGCGCCCAAUAAAGGUUAUAACUAAAAAUCUCCACAAUUCGUGUAGCUUAGUGGUAUUAUCGCUGAUUUAAAAGAACCGGGUUUAAAUGUUAUGAAAGUCGGAAUUAAACUCAAGUGGAAAAUACGAUAACCUUUAAACAUGA